UCCCCGCGUGUGUGUGCCUAAUUUCAGAUGGUCUGCCAAAGACCCCUCCUGAGCGCCAGCCCUGGUCCCCCAAGAGGUCCCAUUUCCUCUCUGACAAGAUGAAAGAAAGGAUCAUGAAUCGAGAAAAACUCGCCAAACUGCAGGCACAAGUGCGCAUUGGUGGAAAAGGAACUGCUGGCAGAAAGAAGAAGGUGGUUCAUAGAACAGCCACAGCAGAUGAUAAAAAAAAACUUCAGUUCUCCUUAAAGAAAUUAGGGGUAAAUAAUAUUUCUGGUAUUGAAGAGGUGAAUAUGUUCACAAACCAAGGAACAGAGUGAUCCACUUUAACAAUCCUAAAGUUCAGGCAUCUCUGGCAGCCAACACUUUCACCAUUACCGGCCACGCUGAGACAAAGCAGCUGACGGAAAUGCUCCCCAGCAUCUUAAACCAGCUUGGCGCAGACAGUCUGACUAGUUUGAGAAGACUGGCUGAAGCUCUGCCCAAACUAUCUGUGGAUGGAAAAGCACCACUUGCUACUGGAGAGGAUGAUGAUGAUGAAGUUCCAGAUCUUGUGGAAAAUUUUGAUAAGGCAUCCAAAAAUGAGGCUAACUGA